rnacentral:snRNA from 1 species
AUCGCUUCUCGGCCUUUUGGCUAAGAUCAAGUGUAGUAUCUGUUCUUAUCAGUUUAAAAAGUGAAAGCAGCUGCUAAAGUUGGGG